AUGCGCUCGACGAGGCUUUUGUGGAUCUCCCCCGAUGUACAGCCAACACUGGCGACCUCCUCGGCGUUGAGGUUGCCACCGAGCAUGGCCUUGUGCAGGAGGGCCCUGAUGUCGCGGUCCUCACGCUCGCUGUGGAGCUUGUUGGCCUGGUGCUGGAGCUUGGCGAGGCACUUGGUGAGGAACUCCUCCUGGCUCAUCGUCUUCUUGAACUGCGGCAUGUUCGGCAUGGCCUUGUACCGAUUCAGGAUUUCCACCGCCUCGGCAUGGGACGGGUAA
rnacentral:rRNA from 1 species